CCUGGCGUCCUGGUGAACACAAUCGAGCAAGGCAGUGAAGCAAAAAUCAUUAGGUGGCUGGACUCAGACACAUCACACUCCAGUUUGGGUUCCAAGUUGCUUCUUUGGAUUUUCACCUGCCUUGCCAAAAAUGAUUGAUUACACCAGGCCAACUGGGUGUCCGGCAGUACCCAACAAAUGACUUUGGCCCCUAACAGCAGGCCUUGGCCAGAUAGAAAUCAAUAUUUCACCAUUAAAAUCUAUCAAAGAAGAGUUAAGGCACCAUCUGUCCCUGCCGCCUCUCUAUGGUGUGUGAACAUUAAAUCCGACACUUGUACUACAUGAGUAAUCAAUAUAUAGUGGUUCACAGAUCAUUUGUGGUCCCCUUUUAGCAGUGAUGGAUGUCUGGAAUCGUUGUGAUUCAUUUUGUCAGACCAUUAAACAAGAUUCUGUCCAGUUCCUUCCUGAUUUCA